GAUGAACGCUGGCGGCGUGCCUAAUACAUGCAAGUCGAGCGAACGGACGAGAAGCUUGCUUCUCUGAUGUUAGCGGCGGACGGGUGGGUAACACGUGGAUAACCUACCUAUAAGACUGGGAUAACUUCGGGAAACCGGAGCUAAUACCGGAUAAUAUUUUGAACCGCAUGGUUCAAAAGUGAAAGACGGUCUUGCUGUCACUUAUAGAUGGAUCCGCGCUGCAUUAGCUAGUUGGUAAGGUAACGGCUUACCAAGGCAACGAUGCAUAGCCGACCUGAGAGGGUGAUCGGCCACACUGGAACUGAGACACGGUCCAGACUCCUACGGGAGGCAGCAGUAGGGAAUCUUCCGCAAUGGGCGAAAGCCUGACGGAGCAACGCCGCGUGAGUGAUGAAGGUCUUCGGAUCGUAAAACUCUGUUAUUAGGGAAGAACAUAUGUGUAAGUAACUGUGCACAUCUUGACGGUACCUAAUCAGAAAGCCACGGCUAACUACGUGCCAGCAGCCGCGGUAAUACGUAGGUGGCAAGCGUUAUCCGGAAUUAUUGGGCGUAAAGCGCGCGUAGGCGGUUUUUUAAGUCUGAUGUGAAAGCCCACGGCUCAACCGUGGAGGGUCAUUGGAAACUGGAAAACUUGAGUGCAGAAGAGGAAAGUGGAAUUCCAUGUGUAGCGGUGAAAUGCGCAGAGAUAUGGAGGAACACCAGUGGCGAAGGCGACUUUCUGGUCUGUAACUGACGCUGAUGUGCGAAAGCGUGGGGAUCAAACAGGAUUAGAUACCCUGGUAGUCCACGCCGUAAACGAUGAGUGCUAAGUGUUAGGGGGUUUCCGCCCCUUAGUGCUGCAGCUAACGCAUUAAGCACUCCGCCUGGGGAGUACGACCGCAAGGUUGAAACUCAAAGGAAUUGACGGGGACCCGCACAAGCGGUGGAGCAUGUGGUUUAAUUCGAAGCAGCGCGAAGAACCUUACCAAAUCUUGACAUCCUUUGACAACUCUAGAGAUAGAGCCUUCCCCUUCGGGGGACAAAGUGACAGGUGGUGCAUGGUUGUCGUCAGCUCGUGUCGUGAGAUGUUGGGUUAAGUCCCGCAACGAGCGCAACCCUUAAGCUUAGUUGCCAUCAUUAAGUUGGGCACUCUAAGUUGACUGCCGGUGACAAACCGGAGGAAGGUGGGGAUGACGUCAAAUCAUCAUGCCCCUUAUGAUUUGGGCUACACACGUGCUACAAUGGACAAUACAAAGGGCAGCGAAACCGCGAGGUCAAGCAAAUCCCAUAAAGUUGUUCUCAGUUCGGAUUGUAGUCUGCAACUCGACUACAUGAAGCUGGAAUCGCUAGUAAUCGUAGAUCAGCAUGCUACGGUGAAUACGUUCCCGGGUCU
rnacentral:rRNA from 1 species